rnacentral:rRNA from 1 species
UACGGAGGAUCCAAGCGUUAUCCGGAUUUAUUGGGUUUAAAGGGUGCGUAGGCGGAAUUGUAAGUCAGUGGUGAAAUCCUACAGCUUAACUGUAGAACGGCCAUUGAUACUGCAGAUCUUGAGUAUAUUUGAAGUGGGCGGAAUGUGUCAUGUAGCGGUGAAAUGCUUAGAUAUGACACAGAACACCGAUUGCGAAGGCAGCUCACUAAACUAUAACUGACGCUGAGGCACGAAAGCGUGGGGAGCAAACAGG